GAACAAGAAAAGGCUCUGAAACAGAUCCAAGAUGUUGUUUGAGCCAUGCAACUAGAAGAUCUCAUAGAACUAAAGUUAUCUAAUUUACAGAAAAGGUUUUACGUGACGUCUAUUGUACAGAUUCAUAUGAAAACCAUAGUUCAAACUCCAAGGUUUAAGAAGUAAGAAAGAUCAUGCCAUUUGCAACAAACAUGCAUGCAUAUUUGAAAAGCAACUGUAAGUAUGCUAUUGGACAUUGGUAAAGAUUGAAUAUCUGACCAUGGCAUAUCAAGAAACCAUGGAAUGAGUACUGCUUAUCAAGAUCUGGGUGUGAGAAGACUUAAAAAGUCAGAUAGUCAGUGAGAACCAGCUAGAAUCCAUGAAAUUGUGACCAAUAAGAAUCCCAGAGAAGUUCUGCCCUAAUGGAGUCAACUUGAUUUGAGAUGCAAAUAGAUUUGCGCAAUAUCUGUUGUGGGAAAACUAGAAGACCAAAAAAAGCACGAAAGUCAAGAAAGAAGUCUCUUUUCACAUGAAAGUGGCUGUGCUAAUGGUCUAUCAAGAUAUCCUGAGUUUCCAGUAGAGAUGUUUCAGCCAUAACACAGGCCUGGUAGAAAAAGCCUGAAGACAAAUACUGCUAUGAAUGGUUACAUCUAGGACUUCUGAAAUUAGCCCCAGAUUCAACUCAUUUUUUUCUGCAUUUGCUGAGCAAUAUGACAUGUUUACACCGAUUAGCUAAAAAGUUAUGUGAAGAAUGGGCAACAAUAUCUCUAAGGCAAGAUAUGUUCAGAUCCAAUAUAGUUCAUAUAGACCUUGUCAGAGUAAAUGACCAUGUGCCUUUCAG
rnacentral:lncRNA from 1 species